rnacentral:rRNA from 1 species
AGCAGCCGCGGUAAUUCCAGCUCCAAUAGCGUAUAUUAAAGUUGUUGCAGUUAAAAAGCUCGUAGUUGAAUUUCGGGGUCAGUAGGUUGGUCAUGCCUUUGGUAUGUACUGGUCUCACUGAUUCCUCCCUCUUGAAGAACUGUAAUGUCAUUAAUUUGGUGUUGCGGGGAAUCAGGACUGUUACUUUGAAAAAAUUAGAGUGUUUAAAGCAGGCUUACGCUUGAAUACAUUAGCAUGGAAUAAUGAAAUAGGACGUUUGAUCCUAUUUUGUUGGUUUCUAGGAUUGACGUAAUGAUUAAUAGGGAUAGUUGGGGGGCAUUAGUAUUCAAUUGUCAGAGGUGAAAUUCUUGGAUUUAUUGAAGACUAACUACUGCGAAAGCAUUUGCCAAGGAUGUUUUCAUUAAUCAAGAACGAAAGUUAGGGGAUCGAAGACGAUCAGAUACCGUCGUAGUCUUAACCAUAAACUAUGCCGACUAGGGAUCGGAUGAUGUUAAUUUUUUAAUGACUCAUUCGGCGCCUU